rnacentral:misc_RNA from 1 species
GAUGAAGAACGUAGCGAAAUGCGAUAAGUAAUGUGAAUUGCAGAAUUCAGUGAAUCAUCGAAUCUUUGAACGCACCUUGCGCCUUUUGGUAUUCCGAAAGGCACACCUGUUUGAGCGUCAUGAAUACCUCAAUCUCCAUCUUUUCUUCGGAUUGAUGGGUGACUUGGAUGUUGAGCCCUGCUGGUAUGCUAUAUCAGCUGGCUUUAAACUUAUUAGCCGGCUCUGUACUGGAUCGGUUUGACUCGACGUGAUAAUAUUAUCGUUGAGGAUGCAUGUCUCAUGCAGCCGGAAAGUAUCAAAGCAGCUUCUUGCUUGCCUUUAGUGCACUUUUACAUUUUAGACCUCAGAUCAGGUGGGACUACCCGCUGAACUUAAGCAUAUCAAUAAGCGGAGGA